UACGUAGGGACCAAGCGUUGUUCGGAUUUACUGGGCGUAAAGGGCGCGUAGGCGGCAUGACAAGUCACUUGUGAAAUCUCCGGGCUUAACUCGGAACGGCCAAGUGAUACUGUCGCGCUAGAGUGCGGAAGGGGCAAUCAGAAUUCUUGGGUGUAGCGGUGAAAUGCGUAGAUAUCAAGAGGAAUACCGUGAGGUGAAGACGGGUUGCUAGGCCGACACUGACGCUGAGUGCGCGAAAGCCAGGGGGAGCAAAACGGG
rnacentral:rRNA from 1 species